GUGUCAGCAGCCGCGGUAAGACGAAGGUGGCGAGCGUUACUCGGAAUUACUAGGCGUAAAGCGUGGGCAGGCGGUUCGGUAAGUCUGUUGUGAAAGCUCCCGGCUUAACCGGGAGAGGCCAAUGGAUACUGCCGGACUUGAAUGUGGGAGAGGUGACUGGAAUUCCUGGUGUAGCGGUGAAAUGCGUAGAUAUCAGGAGGAACACCAAUGGCGAAAGCAGGUCACUGGACCACUAUUGACGCUCAUCCACGAAAGCUGGGGGAUCAAACAGGAUUAGAUACCCUCGUAGUCC
rnacentral:rRNA from 1 species